AAUAUGUCCCAUAUAACGUACAUACAGGUGGUAAUAGAGAAUAAACUUGGAAGGCACAUGUGUAUAUAUAAAAGCACUUGUGAAUAAUAGUGAAUCAUGUAUGUCUACCGUAUACCCUAAAAUAUUAAUACCAAUGUAAUAUACUUAAAGCAUCCGCGAAUUAUAGUGGAUUUCAUUUAACUUGAAGUUAGUUAGAAUUUGCGGAUGUAUUAAGAUUUAAUAAAAUAAGGCUAAAAGCAGGUAUAACGUAAUUCCUGGAUAAAAGUGUUUUUUUAGUCUUGGAUUGGAUUUAUUAUUCUGUGAUGAUUUUCGAUUCGUCGACUCUGGGUUCAUCUUCAAUUUUCUGAAAAGGAUUACUACCCGCGUUCGAUAUUCGCCAAGAGAGUCUCUUGGGUGCUCCGACAAAUCAACGAGGAAACUUCAAGACAACAACAACAACAUGGCGAACUAACAGCAGAAUCAAUUAGGGUAUUGUAAAUUUCACGGAUUUACGGACAUUUCAAGCAGUAAGAUGAGAAACUGCUUCUCAGUUAUACACAUUUAAGUUCUGUACAUGGAAUACAGCACCAAAGAACUUCGAACUGAUGGAAGUUGCUGAAUUUGAAGCGGACAUUGACAUAAUUUGCUGCGGAUGAGACUGGGUGGGGUUUGAUUCAGUGAAUGUCACAACACUGCCAUUGCCGAUUGAUGGGACAACCUCGUCAAUAGCAUAUGUAUGUGAGGGCAGGCAAGCGACAGAUUCAUUUGAACUAGAAGCUGACAGCAGCUAAAAUUGGUGUUGUGCGUGGUGCCAGAUAAAAAGGGUCUUCUUCAUCAGAGUAUCCAGAUGGGCGUUUUACAGCAUAAAGUUUAUACAUUGCCACCGGAUCCCUGUCGCAGGAAGUUGCGAACAUUUUUGGUGCAACUUUGCGGACGUCUGUCAAGUUCUCACCGGAUGAUCUGAGAUCUCGUUAGAGGCGGCAUCGGUAGAACCUUCAACUAGCACUUCAUUCAUACCAACUGUAUCACCUGAUUUUAUUUCUGGAAUGUCAGGAUCAACUGGAUUGAGUGUGUUGUUUUCCCAGUCAUCGUCUAACAGACUAGGGUGGAAUCCAAAUGUUUGGAAGAAAUCUUCCACAGAGAUUUCUUGAACAGUUUCAGUGUCAUCCACAUUAAUACUCAUCAAUAAUCAUGAGGAACAAUUCCCUCCCAUAUAACUUCAAAAGUGCCAGGGCUAAUGUUAUCCGACAUUUUGACAGCUGUCAGCUCUGACAGUUUAACAGCAGACACCAAAAUAUUCACUGUUGUACAGUAUUUA